rnacentral:rRNA from 1 species
GACGAACGCUGGCGGCGUGCUUAACACAUGCAAGUCGAACGGAAAGGCCCUGCUUGCAGGGUACUCGAGUGGCGAACGGGUGAGUAACACGUGGGUGAUCUGCCCUGCACUUCGGGAUAAGCUUGGGAAACUGGGUCUAAUACCGGAUAGGAACCAUCUUUAGUGUGGUGGUUGGAAAGUUUUUUCGGUGUAGGAUGAGCUCGCGGCCUAUCAGCUUGUUGGUGGGGUAAUGGCCUACCAAGGCGGCGACGGGUAGCCGGCCUGAGAGGGUGUACGGCCACAUUGGGACUGAGAUACGGCCCAGACUCCUACGGGAGGCAGCAGUGGGGAAUAUUGCACAAUGGGCGCAAGCCUGAUGCAGCGACGCCGCGCGGGGGAUGAAGGCCUUCGGGUUGUAAACUCCUUUCGCUAGGGACGAAGCUUUGUUGUGACGGUACCUAGAUAAGAAGCACCGGCUAACUACGUG